CCCCUCUGAGGGUCACACCUGGAGAGUUUCUAGUGCUCUGCCAGUCUUGAUUACAGGAGGGAAAGUCAAGCAGAGGUAUAUCCAGUCCAUUCCUAGCUUGAGCAGUGGCUAGCGAGUGGAAGGCAAUAUUCUACAGAU